ensembl:lncRNA
AUAGAGUAAGGAAUGAUGACCAAAGGGAUGAAGACCAUACUGGGGAAACCCUCAGAAACAGCUGACCUGAGCAGAUGAGAGCUCAUGGACCCUGGACUGACAGCUGGGAACUUGCAUAAGACUGAACCAAGCCCCGUGUAUAUGUGUCAGUUGGGGGGCUUGGGUGAUCUAUGGCAGCUGCUGGCAGUGUAACCAGUAUUUAUCCCUAGUAUAUGAAUGGGCUUUGGGAGCCCAUUCCCUAUGAGGGCAGGCCUAGGUCAUGCACCAAAGAAUAUGACAGUCUUUGAUGAUUCCCCAUGGGAGGCCACACCCUCUUGGGGGAGUGGAUGCCUGGUAGAAUGGGGAGAUGGUGGGAAGAAUGUUGGAAGAGCACAGAAAGGCACCUGGGAUUGGUAUGUAAGAUAAGAUUGGUUUAAUUUUAAAAAUGCAAUGUAAAUGUUCUAAUUCAAUGAAUUGAAUCUCAGUAUUGCAAAGAAUCCUAAAAUCCCUAAACCCAUUAGGUAUUAGGACUAUUCCCUUCCUAUGUUCUUAUGGUCAAGCCCACCUAAAAUUCAUCAAGGAAUCCAAAAUAUGUAACAGGGAUACGACAGCAAGACAUGAAGAGUAAAUAUUUGAAUUUAAUAAGCACUUUCUCUAUUCAAAGUGUGUAUAUUUUAUUGUCAUAUUUUAAAAGUAUUUAUGGAUGGAAUAAAUAUUAAAAUUAGGAAUUAACUCAAUCAUAAUAUUACAUGAAUUUAAUCCUAACACAGGGUGGAAGAAACUCAGGUGGAUCUCUGAGAAUUUAAUGACAAUGUGGUAUAUAUGGUUGUUGUCAGACUAUCCCAGACUCUAUAGUAGGCCCUGUCUUGAAAAGGGAACCAUUACAUAUCAUAUGCUUGAAUGUAGAUGUGUGUAUAUUUGUUCAUAAAUAUGUGCAUGCAAGUUAUGGGCACAGGCAUGUCCACUCCAACUUAAUUUUUCAGAGAUACAGUCUAUCAUUAAAUCCAUACAUAACAAAUUAAUCAUAGAUGUUAUAGCCCAUACUGGAAUUCUAGAUAGACAAUUCCAUUUUCUCUCUCUCUCUCUCUCUCUCUCUCUCUCUCUCUCUCUCUCUCUCUCUCUCUUCUAUGUGGUCAGAAGAAAACUCUGUCUCCUCCACCGCAUGUAGAUUCUUAACUAAGCCAUCUCCUAACUCUUAACUAAUUAAAUAUACAGUCAAAUCAUCUUAUAAACUGAUGUACCGGGCAACAGAUAAAGAAUUUUUCAAAAAGCUAAGCAUUUUUGAAAUAUGAAUUAAUACUCCAAAAUCCUGAGAGCCUACAGGACUCAAAUGGUCUAGGGGGAGAGAAUAUUUGUUUAAUACCUUUAACAGACCCAUAGAGUAGAGAAAGUAUUAAUAUGAGAUAUUGUAAAAUAUUCACUAUACACUAUGUUAAUAGCAUCCUGAAGUCUUUUUUGGUAUGCUUCAUUUAUUUUAUUAGAAUUUCAUGUAUAAGUACUGUAUUACAUCACUCCUAUCCUUUCCGUCACUUCCAACUCUCCCUGUAACCCCAAAUCUCAUAAAAACUAAUAGCAUAUUUUUUUUUUCAUUUUUUGAAAGGAUGAAUACCUUGAAUAUCAAUUCCAUAUCUGAAAUAAUUAAUCCAUGCACCACUCACA